CCCGACCCUUAGGCCCAGAGAGCUGCUCCUGCUCUGCUGCCGUCUACCCGACUCACCUUGGUUGUGGGUGCAAGGAAGGACGGGGGCCGUUGUCUCAGUGGCAUUUGGACGGAGUUGGAGUCGUGUUUGGAGGGAAGGAACUCUUGUCGUGUAAACUAGUUGUUGAGCUGCAAUUUUUUUCUGACCUGCUGAGUAAAACGUUCUAAAGAAUAUAUCUGGAAGAAUAAGGUUGGAAAGUAUGCUAAGCUAUUAUUGAACCUCGUUUGGACCAUGUAGAUUGCAACAUAUAGUUUUGAAUGGAAAAGAUGAAAGUAAUCACAAUGGGGAAGGGAAUGGGUUAAGGAGACAUCUUUCUGCGAUCUUCUUCAACACAACUUGAGGUUUGCCCAGCUUCUGAGCUCCAGAUUCUGAUCUACUACCUGAGUCGCGACCAAAUGAAAGCGACCAGCAAGGCCCUGGAUGGGCCCGUCCACAUGAAGCUUGCGCAGGAUGAAGAACCAACACCACAGAGCCCUUGCUACUGGGACCCAGUCAGCAGGACAGCCUGGACCUCUGAUCUGCCUGGACACCUGAACGCUGCAGGUGGGUUUGGCCAAGGCCCAACCCACAGGAGGCCUGCACUGUAGGUGUAGCGUGAGCCAAGUCCUGAGGCCUGAUCCACAGAGGCAGUAGGGAUCAGGGCCUGAUUCCCAACCUGAUAUGAGUCCAGUUGCCAGAGCAUCUCUGGAUCGAAUGCUCUCUCAGCUUCGACCUUUGCUUCCCACCUGCUUAAAGGCCAGUAUCAUCCUAAGAGAAACAAGACAGCAUGUCUUAGUGAUCACGACACUGUGCCUCCAACAUCUAUCAACAUGAAUGCUUUGAGAAGCUGGAUGUGAGAUGCAUCAAUACAUGUGGUAGAAAUGGUUAAAACUAACGUAUGAUGGGAUACUUGACCAUUCUGAAAUGGUCGAGAUGAUAACCGCAGUACCAGAAAAUCCAAUUAAUAAGAUACCAGUCCCCUGGAACCAGGAGGAAGGAUGAGUCUGGGGGUAAAUUAUGAGCCCUGAUAACAGGGAACAAGGAGGACUGUUAGACUUGCGGAGAGAAUAAUUGACAUGUCUUUUAAGUGAUUGAUCAUGUACUGACUGUGGGAUGCCAAACAAAAUUAUGUGAAGUUGUUUGUCUUGCUGUAUAAAUAUAAGCUUUGUACAACCUAAAAAUCAGAGUUCUGGUGGCGGUGGAGACUGCUGCAGACUCUUCAUGAUAUCAUGUUAAUAAACUCUUAAAACGAAACUUGAAGCCACUCUGGUGUUCUUAGUUAGUGUUUCCAUGACAAUAUGUUAUUCCCGAUGACCUCGAUACACCGCAAUUUGCCUACCUUUGAAACUGGUCUACAGCAGACACCGUCUCCCUGGCCCUACAGUCAUCUCUCGAGCAACUGCACAGGAAAGGCAUCUACAUCAGGUAAUGGUCUAUUGAUUACAGCUCCACCUUCUAUAAUUCCAAGCAAACUCAUCACUAAACUCUGGAACAUGGGAAUCAUUACAAUCUCUGCUUUUGGAUUCUUGACUUCCUGACCAACAGACCACAGUUUGUAAGGAUAGGCAACAACUCCUCCAGCAUGAUGUUUCUAAAUCUUGGUGCUCCACAAGGUUGCUUCCUCAAGCCUCUACUCUGCUCCCUGCACACUCAUGAUUGCAUGGGCAGAUUCUAACUCUUACUUGGAAAGGCAUGGAAUUAUUAGGGACAGUCAAGAUACUUAGUGCAGGGGAGAUCUUGCCUCACAAACUUGAUUGAGAUUUUCCGUGGUGAGGCAUCUGGAAAGAAGUGGAUCCACAGGCAGACACAGCAUGGAUUCAGCAACGGCAGGCCCUGUUUGACAAACUUACUGGAGUACUUUGAGGAUAUAAUGAGCGCAGUGGACAGAGGGGAACAGACGGACGUUAUUUACUUGGAUUUCCAGAAGGUGUU